rnacentral:misc_RNA from 1 species
GGAAAGCAAGGCUAGGGCGGAUUUGCUAUUUGGAGCGAAGACUGAAGCUGAUUGGGUUACAGUGAAGUCGUUAAAUUACAUAUUUAUCGAGCAAAUUUAUCAUGCAAACCCGGUAAAGGCUGGUUCUAGAAUAGGGAGGCCCAUUACAGAUACCAUCUCUAUCGCUCUUCCUCUUCUGAUAUCUUUCUCUGUCUAGAUUUGGCCACCGAAACCCCGCAUUCCAUGGGGUCUAUGCUCGGUGACUGGCCUUCCUUUGACCCUCACAACUUUAGCCAACUUAGACC